ACUACACCCCUAAUUAUAACCGUUGGAUGACUUUGGGAGUUUCACGUGACCACAGCUCUAUGAAAGGACCUGAGCCCUAGGACCAUGCCUCAGGACUACCUGGCCUGAUGAUUCCUUGCUGUCCCCAGUCCACCUGGUCGUGCUGCUGCUCCAGUUUCAACUGUUCUGCCCUGACCUGUUCACCGGACGUGCUAACUUGUCCCAGACUUGCUGUUUUUGACUCUCUCUCUACCGCACCUGCUGUCUCUAACUCUGAAUGAUCGGCUAUGAAAAGCCAACUGACAUUUACUCCUGAGGUGAUGACUUGUUGCACCCUCUACAACCACUAUGAUUAUUAUGAUUUGACCCUGCUGGUCAUCUAUGAACGUUUGAACAUCUUGGCCAUGUACUGUUAUAAUCGCCACCCUGCAUAGCCAGAAGAAGAAUGGACACCCCUCAGAGCCUGGUUCCUCUCUAGGUUUCUUCCUAGGUUCCUGCCUUUCUAGGGAGUUUUUCCUAGCUACCAUGCUUCUACAUCUGCAUUGCUUGCUGUUUUAGGCUGGGUUUCUGUAUAGCACUUUGACAUCGGAUGAUGUAAAAAGGGCUUGAUAAAUACAUUUGAUUGAU